rnacentral:misc_RNA from 1 species
GAUGAAGAACGUAGCGAAAUGCGAUAAGUAAUGUGAAUUGCAGAAUUCAGUGAAUCAUCGAAUCUUUGAACGCACCUUGCGCUCCUUGGUAUUCCAAGGAGCAUGCCUGUUUGAGUAUCAUUAAAUUAUCAACUGUGCCAAUUUGGUUACAGAUUGGAUGUGGGAGAUUCUUUUUGCAGGCCUUUGACUUCUCUUUGAGAAAAAAAAUAAAAGGUCGGCUCUCCUGGAAUGUAUUAGCAGUGCCUUUGUUGGUUCAUUAGGUGUGAUAAAUUGUCUACAUCUUCGCAUGAUACCUUCAUUUGUAAAGGUCAUAUUGCUUCUAAAUUGUCUUUGAUUGGACGCGAAACAUAUAUAAUGUUUGACAAACUUGAUCUCAAAUCAGGCAGGACUACCCGCUGAACUUAAGCAUAUCAAUAAGCGGAGGA